GGAGGAAAAGAAACUAACAAGGAUUCCCCUAGUAACUGCGAGUGAAGCGGGAAAAGCUCAAAUUUAAAAUCUGGUAGUCUUUGGCUGCCCGAGUUGUAAUCUAGAGAAGCAUUAUCCGCGCUGGACCGUGUACAAGUGUCCUGGAAUGGACCAUCAUAGAGGGUGAGAAUCCCGUCUUUGACACGGACUCCCAGGGCUUUGUGAUGUGCUCUCAAAGAGUCGAGUUGUUUGGGAAUGCAGCUCUAAAUGGGUGGUAAAUUCCAUCUAAAGCUAAAUAUUGGCGAGAGACCGAUAGCGAACAAGUACCGUGAGGGAAAGAUGAAAAGAACUUUGGAAAGAGAGUUAAACAGUACGUGAAAUUGCUGAAAGGGAAACGCUUGAAGUCAGUCGCGUUGGCUGGGGAUCAACCUUGCUUUUUUGCUUGGCUUAUUUCCUAGUUGACGGGUCAGCAUCAGUUUUGACCAGUGGAUAAAGGUUGAGGGAAUGUGGCACCUUCGGGUGUGUUAUAGCCCUUGGUCAUAUACAUUGAUUGGGACUGAGG
rnacentral:rRNA from 1 species